ensembl:lncRNA
UUCCGCAGUGGCUCAAUAAGCACCCUCAGUGCUUUUUCAUACCUUUAGAUUUGGAGAUUAUAUAUUUGAAAUAUACUGAAGAUCUUUAAAUGGAGCUAAAGGAGACAGUGGAACAACUGCGUCCCUCCACGGACGAUGGAGGGAGAUUAAUGACCAGAAAAACAUCACAGCUGGACAGAACGUCACUCUGCCGUGUCGAGCUCGAGACAACAACAUCCCCAUCAUAGUUGUAGAGUGGAGCAGAGCUGACCUGGGCAAAGAAAGUGUCCUAAUGUACCGGGAUAAGCAGUUGGAUCCAGAUCACCAGCAUCCAUCUUUUAAGAACCGGGUGGAUCUGCAGGACAAAGAAAUGAAGGAUGGAAACGUGUCUGUGAUUCUGAAGAAUGUGACGAUUAAUGACGCUGGAACAUACGAGUGUCGUGUCUUCAGGAGAGGAACAAACCGCAGGAAGAGAGCUAAUCUGAAGACUCCCCCUAUCAGCAUCAUCACCCUGAGAGUUGAUCCUCCAGGUCAGCCAGGAGGACACACAGAGGAUGGAGGGAAGGAGGCAGGGAAGGAGGAUGGAGGAGAGAAGAGUGGAUCUGUUGGACUAAUAGCUGGUCUGAUAGUUUCUGCUGUGAUUCUUGUUUCUGCUGGUAUUGGCUUUUUGGCCUACAGAAAACAUAAACCACAAAAGAGUCAGGUUUCACAUCAUCUUCCUGCUAAACUACAUUUUGAAAUGUCUGAGAGCUCUCUGAAUUCUGAAUCUCUUGCUGAUGAACAUGGAGACAGAAGGGACUCAGAAACAAGAAACUGUCACCAACACUCCACAAGGAUCCCUGAUGUCACUCUGACACUUGAGAAUGAACUAGUUUGUCCUCCUCAGGAAACAGCAGGACUGCUUCCAGAGAGAAACAUCAGAGUGCAGUAGAUAAUGUCUGACAGCAGUUUGAAGAGGAAAUGGAUUCUGUUCUGUUCUUCACUCAUCACCUACCUGACAGCUGACACCUCACACCUGUUUCUCACCUGCAGGUCAGACAGGAGGAGACCCUGGGCUGGAAGCUGGUCUGUCAGUUUUUGGUGUGUCUUUUUUUUUUCCUGAAACUAUUUUUCACCUCCUCCUUGUACUGAACAAAAGCUGGUCUUAAACUACAUUUAUAUUAUAAGCUAAUGAAAUGUUUCAUAAGUAAAAUCUGACGGUUGAGCUUUCAGAUUACUGCAGUACUAUUUAAUCUACCUCAUGCUUUAUAACCUAUUUAUUUCCCUCAUUACAAAAUGUCCAACUAAUGUUCCUUCUGCUAUCAGUUAGUGAAGCUUUAGUAGAAAAUAGAAUCAGUCUAUUUCAGCUUUAGCGCUGGAUACAUGAAAAUCUAUUUACUGUCAUUUCAUUGUUUUUAUGCUUGUUGUCCUGCUGAGUGUCAAAGAACAAACUUCACACUAAUAGAAAACAGAUCAAAUAGUCUGACAGGUGCCUCUUCAUCACAGAGGCAACACUGUGAUCAGUAAAAUUAGACGGUCAUUGUUAUUAAAUGUUCUCAUUAGUUUCUUUCUGUUUCUUUAUUGUAUUGAUAAAUUAUUACACAUAAUUCUCAGUAAUUAUACCAAAACCUAAGAGUAGAAUACAAACAGACCAUGACACAUUUUUCAGGGAUCCUCAGCUGCCAGAAGCAGAUCAGAAAAGAUCAUAAUGUUUAAUAUUCUGUAAUUGAUCAGAAAUGCUCAAAUAAUGAGGAAAUAAAUGAUGUCAAAGUUAAUUCUCAGUGUGUCAUGUGUGUUAUUAACAAUGUCCGGGUGUUAAAACUUUGUAAGCUCUGCUUUUCAAAUCUUUCAUGUUCUUUAAAAAAAAAAGUAAAGAUCUUUUGAUUUAAAGAGACGUCAUUUUUAUUUCAGCUCAUCCCCAACAAAAUGUCUGUUUUCAUGUUUUUCUGGUCUUUUAUAAGGGAAGUGAUAUCAUAUAUAACUGAUCUCUCACAUGCUAAGUGUAUAGGUUUCUACAGAGAAAGAGGAUCGUACUCAGUGUGCACACUACACAGAAAUGACAGCUGGGCCCACACAGUUUAAUUUCUACCUGGAACAGCAUCAGUGAUCACACUAGUCAAACUUGCUCAACAAUGGCAAGGACAAUAAAUUAUCUGUCUCACUAUUGCUCAGAAUAUUAAGUCCAUGAUUAUGACAUGGAAAAUCAGAAUAUUCCUCAAAUAGUCUAAAUGCACAUAUAAAAAUAUUUU